GGAAUUCUUGUUUCAGUCGGAGAAGAGUUCAUGAAUUCAAUAUCAUGAUAAUAAGAUAAUGCUACAUCGUACCCAUGGUUCUGAGAAGCGGUGAAGCUAAUGUUCUGAAGGAGGGAAAGAAAUAUGUUGCUGUGUUCUCAAGACAAAUAUCAAAGAUGUUUCAGUCCUCAGAUUUAGGAUUACUGCCAUAUUGAAGAAAAUGAGGACAAAAACUUUUCAGUCUUUCCAGAAAAUUGCGUGGAAGGAGGAAAAGAAGCAAUAAGUGAACAUGACAAAUCAAUGAGUCAAGGUGGUCAUAGGAUGUUCCUGUUAUUUAAAUGUUAAGGCUGGUUUAUGUUUUUUGCAGGGCCUUAUUGUCUUAAAAUCAAUUUACCUUAAAAGUUUGCCUCUC
rnacentral:lncRNA from 1 species